GACGAACGCUGGCGGCGUGCUUAACACAUGCAAGUCGAACGGAACUUCUUGGAUAGAGGCUUCGGCCAAUUGAAUUGAAGUUUAGUGGCGGACUGGUGAGUAACGCGUGAGGAACCUGCCUUUCAGAGGGGGACAACAGUUGGAAACGACUGCUAAUACCGCAUGACACAUUCGGGCGGCAUCGCUUGAAUGUCAAAGAUUUUAUCGCUGAAAGAUGGCCUCGCGUCUGAUUAGCUAGUUGGUAGGGUAACGGCCUACCAAGGCGACGAUCAGUAGCCGGUCUGAGAGGAUGAACGGCCACAUUGGGACUGAGAUACGGCCCAGACUCCUACGGGAGGCAGCAGUGGGGGAUAUUGCACAAUGGGGGAAACCCUGACCCAGCAACGCCGCGUGAAGGAAGAAGGCCUUCGGGUUGUAAACUUCUUUUACCAGGGACGAAGAAAGUGACGGUACCUGGAGAAAAAGCAACGGCUAACUACGUG
rnacentral:rRNA from 1 species